GUAGGUGCUGUGCCCCGGGAUCGCUGGGGCGCGGGCGCAGGCGGCAACCGGCGCGCCCGGGAAGCCGCGCUCUCCUCUCCCGCGCGGAGUCUGGGCGGCCGUUGGAGGGAACAAAAGGGAAAGCGAAAGAGACCCUGGUUUCGCAGCCCCGCCCCCAGAGCCUCCUCGCCCCACUCUGCCCCGCCCUCCCCUGUACGCCGCCGGGAGAGCCCCCAGACCUGCCCGACGCGAGCGGGGAUUGGGGUGCAGCCUACGGCAGAUGGAGAGCGACCCUCUUUCGUGCAGGCGGGCGCAGCGCCGGUGGAGGCAGUGCGGUGCGUGCUGCGUCCAGCUCCCUCCGCCGGCCCGCAAGUCCGCGCGGAAUUGCCGGCGCCCUCCAGCGGCCCUGACUUCGGGGUCUACCCCAGCCCCACCCGUCUCCCGGGGUUCAGGUGUCCCGCAAGUGAGUUCAGAGACACAGCUCCAGAGGAGGGACGGACUCAGAACGCCCUGAUCUGCCACCCCGUGAGAGCCCGGCAGAGCUGCCCUAAGAGGCCCGUCCCCCGUGGUGACAGACCGCUCCGUGACCCUACCCCGAGGAGCUUCCAGUCGGGAGGUGAGGGGCCGUUGGUGCGGAUUUGCGCCGCCGCAGCCUCAGGACACGUGAGCCACAUGGAAAUGAGCUCCCCAUCCGGGGGCCCUCUUGUACCUGCUUCCUUGGUUCCCAGGACCCUGCUGCCCCGCUCUCUGUCAGGUGCUGCCGGGCCCUGCUUGGGCCCGCCUCUGAAUCAUUUGAGCCGUGAACCACAGCCCACCGCCCUCCUGGUUGGGUCUUAAAUUGCCCAGGAGUUUGGAUCUGGGCAGCCAUUCACGACUGCUGCCAGGGAGGAGGAGGGACUUCUGCCCCCCACCCCACCCCCAAUUCUCCAGGAGUCCCCGAUCCCCUUUAGAAACCAAGAUCUGGUGCUGGGCGUGUUCACCGCGACUGUCGCGUCCUGCUGCUAGGCCUUGUCGGCAGACAGCUAGGAGGUUUCCGUCUCUAGAUCUCACACUUCUCUGUGUGGAGUCCUUCCCUGCCUUUCCGCGGGGGUCUGGCUGGAUCCCCUGAAGUAGCAGGCCUGGAGUGGAGAGGGCGGGGAGCUCCCGCGCCAGAAGGCCCUAGCACACCCACAACCCUCUCCCUCCCUGCCUUCCUUGCUGGUUGCUGAUACGACGCCUCCGGUUGAGCCUUGGGACUCUUCUGUUCCCUCAGAGCGCUCUGGCUGGCAAGCACCGGCGUUCCAGGAGCCUCCUCGCCUGGGGUCCUCACUCCCACCUCCUCAGCCCACCCCUUGCCUCCUAUCGCAGCUCCAGCCUCCUUCCCUUCCUCGGGCAGGUCCUCUCCUUUACCUCUCGUGGGCCAGAGGCCACUCUGUGGGCUUUACCCCACUGCCCAUCUCUCGUGCACACCCUGGCAAGGACCCCCAUCCUGGCCUCCAGUCCUCAGUUUGCCGCACUAGGCACAGGCCCCUCCCCUUAGUCUGCAGGUCACCCCUGGCGGAGUCCCAUUUUACACGCCCCCGCCCUCUGCUGCUCCCUUGGGCUUUCCCAUUCUGCCUGCGCUCUGCCCCUGCCCCUGCCGCAGGUGGGUUCUGCCGGCUCCGGCUCUGAGGCUCGGAACCCUGUGGAGCCUUAGGAAUCGGCCACAUCUCCCUGGGCUGCCCCUCGCUAGGAUUUGGGCCGGCGGCAGCUGGGGACCUUUGAACACCACCCCCCUCAGCGGACAGCUGCCAAGCUUUGGUCUUGGGGCUCUCUCCGAGGACCCCGGGGUGGGCCUGGAGCCCCAGGGCAAGCAGGAUUGAAGGGGUGCGGGGGGAGGAGGUGCUGGUGGGCCACCCCGGCGGAGGCAGCACCCCCAGGAGUUCUGGCCCGGGGCCCAGCGGCUAGCGUGUGUGGGAAGCUUUAAUGGCCUGGCACCGAGGCGCGGGGCAGAGCGGGCCUGGCUGGCAGGAGCCGGCGUCACCAGAUGAACAUAGGCUUGCCAUCGUCAUGCGCCAGCUGGUUGAGGCAGGAGAGCAGCAGCAGGGCGUCGGUGAGCAUGCUGGGGUGCACGGUCUCCACCAGCACGCGCUGCAGGAAGUCCACGGUGUAGGAGCCGCCCUCGGACGCGGCCAGCUCUGGCCUCUCACGCAGGAUCCCGUAGGCGUUCACCAGCUGCUCGGUGAGCGCCGGGUGCACCCGCCCGUCGUAGCCCAGGCUCUGCAGCCGGUUCAUGAUGCUUACGUAGCGCUGCGUGAGUGUCUGGCACAGCUCUUCAUCCAGCUUGUGGUCGCUGGGGUUCAGGGAGGCCUGAGGGGAGAGCGGCCGUCAGGGCCCCUCCUGCUCCCACCGCCACAAAGGCAAGAGAGGGGCAGGUGCGGCUGAGGGGUGUGGCUGUGGCGAUGUGCUGGAGGGAGGUGUCCUGGAGGCCCUGGGAGAGAGGUCUGGGGACUGGCAGCAACCCGGUGGGUCUCCACCCGCUUCUUUACUGCCCGUGCCUUCCAACCGGGCAGUGACUGCAUCCCGCGGCAUCUCGCCAGGAGAGCGGCCCCUCCUCCCCACUCCUGCCGUUGCCUCUCGGGCAUGUGACCUGGACAUUCAGUCAGGGCCCCGGCUCAGAAGGGCCCACACUCAGCUUAAUGUCCUGCUGUAGCCAUCUUGAAGUUCUUUAUAGGUUUUGAACAGAGAGCCCUGUAUUUUCAUUUUCACCGAGUCCUGCACAUUACGUCUCUGUCACACGAGCAGCUGCCCCCAGGCCCACAGAAUGUCAGGUCUGAAGUAGAUGGGGUCUCUUGCCUGAGGCCCUCCUACACGUCCCACCUCUUGGGGCCAGGCCUGACCUGCAAGGUCCCCACUCUGGCCCUGCGCAUCCCCUUCCAACCAUUCCUGGAUGCCCACCUGCUGGUUCCUAACGUGCUGGGACGAGCUGCUGAGGCGUCACUUUCUCCGAGAAUGUCCCCUGUCCUUUCCUCCCCAGGUGGUCUUGUGAAUAGAGCCCUGGACUCCUGGCUCGGCUCAGCCAAAGUGACGCCUGACCGCUGGCAAUCGUACCUGGAGCCCUGUGCUCAGCACCCCCGCUGCACGGUCACUAGAGUAAGCUCAUCUCCCUGCCUCUAGGCUCCUCCCGGCCCCUGAGCCUUCUCCCUCCUUUCACCUGCUCCUGUGCCGUCAGGCAGGCUGCAGGAGUUCAGCCACCAUCUGUGGGUGACAAGUGGGGCCGCUGGACGGCGCGGAGCACAGUGAGUGGGUAGCUUUAAGCCCCAGCCCCCCAGGACAUCAGAACCCAUUAUAUGCUCACUCCGGGGCUGCGGCUGAGCUCCUGCUGUGUGCCAGACGCGGCGCGUGGAGCUCCAGACAGGAGCAGAAGUCAGGGGUGGGCACCCUGCGCCCACCCUGCCAGGGUACUGGACGGGGAAGAGCAGUGUGGGCACGCUUACACUGAGACGCAAGGCUGCGGCUGCCCCGAGGAGGUGACCUCUUGAGAGUGGAGCACAGGUGAGGCAAGUGAGGGGGGACAAGCAGGACAAGCACUCCACAGGAGCGAGGGAGCAGCGGGCACCGAAGCAAGAGAGGGGGAGGGCUCUGUCCUGCAGAUAAUUCGCAGCCCUCCCCUGUGCAGGGCACCAUACCAGGUGAUGGGAUUCAAGUGUGAGCAAAGCCCUCUGAGUUUAUGGUGAUGACAGCGCCAAGGAGAGGGACGCUGCUGCCUCCCCAGGAGUGGGCGAGCUCCUGGAGCGCAGAGACCGUCUGACAUAAACUUGGUAUGCACUGAAUGCUCCAUAAUAGGAGUGAAGAGAUGGAGGGGGAAGGAUAGUAAGGUGCCAGCAGUUUAGUCCAGGGCCUAGGUGAAUGUAGACGCAGGCGUAUACAUGGGAAACAUCUUUAGAGGGAGACUCAGCAGAGGACCUGGUGCUGGACCAGAUGUGGAGGAGAGAACAGGCGCUACCAAAUACGCACGCACCUGCAAGAAACUGAGCACAUGUGUUCACCACCCAGUCUUUCCAUUCUGGAAACGACGCCGACCACGUGUUCAGUGCUAAGGGAAACGGCGGCAAAGGUUCAGCCCUUGUUCCCGUUAGGAAGCAACGCUCAAGGGGCGGCCGCACGUCCCUCAGAGGGCGGAGACUGGAGCGUGCAUCCUGACUCUUGGGUUAGAGAGAAAAUCCAAAGCAGUUCGUGAAAUCCUUACACCUGAGAAGCCCCCGCCCGUGGGUGGGAGGCCGCCGGGCCGGGCGGGUCCACCUGCUGCACCACUGGUUAAAUAUAGAGCGAACUGCCUUGCCCCACACGUAUUUCCAAACACAGGCUGUGUAAAAUAAAAUGACUUAAGUGCUCAGCCCAAGAAGGAGGAAUAAAGCAAACCAAAAGGAAGCAGAAGGAAAGAAAGAGCUGAACCGAGGAAACAGAAUCCUAAGGAUCAACAGAGGAUCAGCAAGAAAACCCCGCGAGCGCACCGAAGCCCCGCCUUCCCCUGCGGAGGGAAACUCCCGCCUGCGACCCCGCGUCCGCGACGGCCGCAAGGCCUGACGUCACCGAGACCGGGCCAAUGGGUUCGGCGUGUUCGCGAGAUAAGUAGCGAAGCUGCAGAAGUCGUAAAUAACCUAAAACGGCAUCUGGAGGCGUUAAAAACACGAGGGUGGGGCGCCUGGGGGGCUCAGCUGGUUAAGCGUGGGACUUCGGCUCAGGUCAUGAUCUCACGGCUCAUGAGU